GAUGAACGCUGGCGGCGUGCCUAAUACAUGCAAGUCGAACGCGCAGCGAGAGGUGCUUGCACCUUUCAAGCGAGUGGCGAACGGGUGAGUAACACGUGGAUAACCUGCCUCAAGGCUGGGGAUAACAUUUGGAAACAGAUGCUAAUACCGAAUAAAACUUAGUAUCGCAUGAUAUCAAGUUAAAAGGCGCUACGGCGUCACCUAGAGAUGGAUCCGCGGUGCAUUAGUUAGUUGGUGGGUAAAGGCUUACCAAGACGAUGAUGCAUAGCCGAGUUGAGAGACUGAUCGGCCACAUUGGGACUGAGACACGGCCCAAACUCCUACGGGAGGCUGCAGUAGGGAAUCUUCCACAAUGGGCGCAAGCCUGAUGGAGCAACGCCGCGUGUGUGAUGAAGGCUUUCGGGUCGUAAAGCACUGUUGUAUGGGAAGAAAUGCUAAAAUAGGGAAUGAUUUUAGUUUGACGGUACCAUACCAGAAAGGGACGGCUAAAUACGUGCCAGCAGCCGCGGUAAUACGUAUGUCCCGAGCGUUAUCCGGAUUUAUUGGGCGUAAAGCGAGCGCUGACGGUUGAUUAAGUCUGAUGUGAAAGCCCGGAGCUCAACUCCGGAAU
rnacentral:rRNA from 1 species